rnacentral:lncRNA from 12 species
AGCCGUUGUGACACAGCGUGGCCACAUGGAGUAAAGGGGCCAUUGUGACAUUGCAGAUCCAAGGAGACCAUUGUGACUGAGGAACCUCAUGGAACCAAGAGUCCAUUGUUACACUGUGGGGCCCUGAGGAAUCAAGGUGGCAUUGUCGGGCCUCAUGGAACAAUGGAGCCUAUUCUGACACUUUGGGACCCACUGGAACCAAGGGGCCUGUCAUAAUCCGCUCACACAAGCAGGGAUUGUGAUGGUUCAUUUGACCUCUCGAUGCAAAAGAUACACAGCAAGGGGACUGAAGUUUAUUCACAGCAAACAGCAAUUAUUGAGUGUCAACAACACAGUUAUGCGAUAGAGCGGAGAGAUAAAGGAAAACAAAGUAAAGAGAGAGAAAAAGGGGAGUGGGGAAUAGCUACCAACAGAUGGGGUGACAUCCUCGUGGUCUUCAGCCAAUAGACAAGUCUUCCUUCUGCGGGGAGAUCUCAAAAGUCUCUUCAGAAUGUCCCCUUUUUAUAGUCCUUUUCCAAAGAGAGUGGUCUCUGGCCAAGAGGUGGGAAGAUUUAUAGACUACCGUGAGGAGAAUCAGUUGCUCCGAGAAGCAGGUGUAGGACACGGUGCUCCCAGCCAGUACCUGCUCAAACGCAGCACACCAUGGCAAGCACAGCUGCAAACAGUCACUUGGCAAGCAUCCACCUCAGCCAGGCCAGGACUCCUAUCCAAACGAGUGGGGUCCCCGGGGUCUUAGUCUCUGUUCUUGUGACAGUCGUGAGGCAGAUGAGGGAAUCUUCGGACCGUCUCUUACAUGUGGUCAGUGAGUGUAGUCAGUGGGGUGUGGUCAGUUGGGUGGUCAAUCUGUUCAAAAGGGUUAUCAGUGGAUUGUGGUCAGUGGGUGUGGCCAUUUGAGGUGGUCAUUGGGGUGUGGGAAGUGGAUUGUGGUCAGUGGGUGUGGCCAUUUGAGGUGGUCAUUGGGGUGUGGGAAGUGGGGUGUGGUCAGUGGUUGUGGUCAGAGGGGGAAUGGCCAGUUGGUGCGAUUACUGGGGGUCAUCAGUGGCGUGUGGUCAGUUGGCGUGGUCAGAGGGUGCAGUCACUGUGGUAGUCAGGUGAGAGUGGUCAGUUGGGUGUAGUCAUUGGUGUGAUCAAUGGGAGUGGUCAGUGGGGGUACAGUCAGUUCCCCCCCCCCCCCCCCCCCCCCCCCCCCCCCCCCCCCCCCCCCCCCCCCCCCCCCCCCCCCCCC